rnacentral:rRNA from 1 species
GAUGAACGCUAGCGGCAGGCCUAAUACAUGCAAGCCGGACGGCAAGUUGAGUAGCAAUACUUGACCUAGAGUGGCGUAAGGGUGCGUAACACGUAUGCAAUCUGCCCACAGCCGGGAGAUAGCCCUCCGAAAGGAGGAUUAAUAUCCCAUAGGAAGAUGAGAUGGCAUCAUUUUAUUUUUAAACUACGGGGCCGUGGAUGAGCAUGCGGUUGAUUAGCUAGUUGGCGGGGUAAAGGCCACCAAGGCGAUGAUCAAUAGGGGACCUGAGAGGGUGAUCCCCCACACUGGCACUGAGAUACGGGCCAGACUCCUACGGGAGCAGCAGUAGGGAAUAUUGGGACAAUGGGUGUAAGCCUGAUCCAGCCAUGCCGCGUGCAGGAAGAAGGCCUUCUGGUCGUAAAGCUCUGUUGCAAGGGAAUAAGAAAGUGAAUGUACCUUGUGAGGAAGGAUCGGGCUAACUUCGUGCCAGCAGCCGCGGUAAU